rnacentral:rRNA from 1 species
GAUCCUGGCUCAGAUUGAACGCUGGCGGCAGGCCUAACACAUGCAAGUCGAGCGGUAGAGAGAAGCUUGCUUCUCUUGAGAGCGGCGGACGGGUGAGUAAUGCCUAGGAAUCUGCCUAGUGGUGGGGGAUAACGUUCGGAAACGGACGCUAAUACCGCAUACGUCCUACGGGAGAAAGCGGGGGACCUUCGGGCCUCGCGCCAUUAGAUGAGCCUAGGUCGGAUUAGCUAGUUGGUGAGGUAAUGGCUCACCAAGGCUACGAUCCGUAACUGGUCUGAGAGGAUGAUCAGUCACACUGGAACUGAGAC